AAAGGAAUUGACGGGGGCCCGCACAAGCGGUGAGCAUGUGGUUUAAUUCGACGCAACGCGAAGAACCUUACCGGGACUUGACAUUAUCUUGCCCGUCUAAGAAAUUAGAUCUUCUUCCUUUCGGGGAAGACAGGAUAACAGGUGGUGCAUGGUUGUCGUCAGCUCGUGUCGUGAGAUGUUGGGUUAAGUCCCACAACGAGCGCAACCCUUGUGCCUAGUUGCUAACUUGUUUUACAAGUGCACUCUAGGCAGACUGCCGCAGAUAAUGCGGAGGAAGGUGGGGAUGACGUCAAAUCAUCAUGCCCCUUACGUCCCGGGCUACACACGUGCUACAAUGGUCUGUACAGAGGGUAGCGAAAGAGCGAUCUUAAGCCAAUCCCAAAAAGCAGGCCCCAGUUCGGAUUGGAGGCUGCAACUCGCCUCCAUGAAGUAGGAAUCGCUAGUAAUCGCGGAUCAGCAUGCCGCGGUGAAUACGUUCCCGGGCCUUGUACACACCGCCCGUCACACCACGAAAGUUGGCGAUACCUGAAGUUACUAGGCUAACCUGGCACUCAACUAAGCACAUUAAGCCUUAUUUUAAGCAAAUAAGUUAGUGUAUUUAGUUGAGUGCCAGGAGGCAGGUACCGAAGGUAUGGCUGGCGAUUGGGGUGAAGUCGUAACAAGGUAGCC
rnacentral:rRNA from 1 species